CCUACGGGUGGCUGCAGUGAGGAAUAUUGGUCAAUGGGCGAGAGCCUGAACCAGCCAAGUCGCGUGAAGGAUGAAGGAUCUAUGGUUUGUAAACUUCUUUUAUAUGGGAAUAAAGUGAGGAACGUGUUCCUUUUUGUAUGUACCAUAUGAAUAAGCAUCGGCUAACUCCGUGCCAGCAUCCGCGGUAAUACGGGGGGUGCAAGCGUUGUCCGGAAUCAUUGGGCGUAAAGAGUUCGUAGGCGGCACGUAAAGUCUGGUGUUAAAGGCAGAGGCUCAACUUCUGUACGGCACUGGAUACUUGCGAGCUAGAAGGCGGUAGAGGUAAAGGGAAUUCCUGGUGUAGCGGUGAAAUGCUUAGAUAUCAGGAGGAACAUCGGUGGCGUAAGCGCUUUACUGGGCCGUAAUUGACGCUGAGGAACGAAAGCCAGGGUAGCAAAUGGGAUUAGAUACCCUUGUAGUC
rnacentral:rRNA from 1 species